rnacentral:rRNA from 1 species
AGGAUGAACGCUGGCGGCGUGCUUAACACAUGCAAGUCGAACGAUGAAGGCUGGAGCUUGCUCUGGCUGGAUUAGUGGCGAACGGGUGAGUAACACGUGAGUAACCUGCCCCAGACUCUGGGAUAAGCGCUGGAAACGGCGUCUAAUACCGGAUACGAGCUCCACCGCAUGGUGAGAGCUGGAAAGAAUUUCGGUCGUGGAUGGACUCGCGGCCUAUCAGUCUUGUUUGGUGAGGUAAUGGCUCACCGAAGCGACGACGGGUAGCCGGCCUGAGAGGGUGACCGGCCACGACUGGACUGAGAC